GUUUUGUACAUACCGCCCGUCACACCACGAGAGUUUGUAACACCCGAAGCCGGUGGAUUAACCAUUUUGGAGCUAGUCGUCGAAGGUGGGACAAAUUUUUGGGGUUAAGUCGUAACAAGGUAGACGUAUCGGAAGGUGUGGCUGUAUCACCUCCUUUCUAAGGAA
rnacentral:rRNA from 1 species